rnacentral:rRNA from 1 species
AUUGAACGCUGGCGGAAUGCUUUACACAUGCAAGUCGAACGGCAGCACGGGUGCUUGCACCUGGUGGCGAGUGGCGAACGGGUGAGUAACAUAUCGGAACGUAUCCAAUAAUGGGGGAUAACUAAUCGAAAGGUUGGCUAAUACCGCAUACGCCCUACGGGGGAAAGCUAGGGACCUUCGGGCCUGGCGUUAAUGGAGCGGCCGAUAUCUGAUUAGCUAGUUGGUGGGGUAAUGGCCUACCAAGGCGACGAUCAGUAGCUGGUCUGAGAGGACGACCAGCCACACUGGAACUGAGACACGGUCCAGACUCCUACGGGAGGCAGCAGUGGGGAAUUUUGGACAAUGGGCGCAAGCCUGAUCCAGCCAUUCCGCGUGAGUGAAGAAGGCCUUCGGGUUGUAAAGCUCUUUCGCAAGGGAAGAAAACUUAUCCUCUAACAUAGGAUGAGGUUGACGGUACCUUGAUAAGAAGCACCGGCUAACUACGUGCCAGCCGCCGCCACCGUAA